rnacentral:rRNA from 1 species
UACGAAGGGGGCUAGCGUUGCUCGGAAUUACUGGGCGUAAAGCGCACGUAGGCGGUUUGUUAAGUCGGGGGUGAAAUCCUGGAGCUCAACUCCAGAACUGCCUUCGAUACUGGCGAUCUCGAGUUCGGGAGAGGUGAGUGGAACUGCGAGUGUAGAGGUGAAAUUCGUAGAUAUUCGCAAGAACACCAGUGGCAAAGGCGACUUCCUGGACUGUUCUUGACGCUGAGGCGCGAAAGCUAGGGGAGCAAACGGG